UACGUAGGGACCGAGCGUUGUCCGGAAUCAUUGGGCGUAAAGAGCGUGUAGGCGGUCAGGUAGGUCCGUUGUGAAAACUCGAGGCUCAACCUCGAGACGCCGAUGGAAACCAUCUGACUAGAGUCCGGAAGAGGAGAGUGGAAUUCCUGGUGUAGCGGUGAAAUGCGCAGAUAUCAGGAGGAACACCGGUGGCGAAGGCGGGUCUCUGGGCCGUAACUGACGCUGAGGAGCGAAAGCAUGGGGAGCGAACAGG
rnacentral:rRNA from 1 species